AUGGAAAUAGCAAAAAGUGCAUCAGAUUUAAGCUCUGAACAUGAAGAUGAAAGCUCUUCUUUCCAUA
rnacentral:tRNA from 1 species